rnacentral:rRNA from 1 species
CCUACGGGGCGCAGCAGUGGGGAAUAUUGCACAAUGGGGGAAACCCUGAUGCAGCGACGCCGCGUGGGGGAAGAAGGAUUUCGGUAUGUAAAGUCCUAUCAGCAGGGACGAAAAAUGACGGUACCUGACUAAGAAGCACCGGCUAAAUACGUGCGAGCAGCCGCGGUAAUACGUAUGGUGCAAGCGUUAGACGGAUUUACUGGGUGUAUAGGGAGCGCAGGCGGCGGGCUUAGACUGAGGUGAAAACCCGCGGCCCAACCGCGGGAGUGCAUUGGAAACUGGCGGGCUGGAGUACCGGAGUGGCAGGCGGAAUUCCUAGUGUAGCGGUGAAAUGCGUAGAUAUUAGGAGGAACACCAGUGGCGAAGGCGGCCUGCUGGACAGCGACUGACGCUGAGGCUCGAAAGCGUGGGGAGCAAACAGGAUUAGAUACCCGAGUAGUC